AUAAAAAAACAAGAUUCUAAAAUCUUACAGUCAAAUUGACAUACUCCUGCAAAGAGUAUAGAGAUAGUCCCACCAAAUAUUCCUUUAAUUUUUUUUGUAGGUAUUCAACCUCCUCUAUUUCUUUCAACUCUCUAGGAAGUAUAUUGAAAAUUUUCUCCCCAUAAAAAGUGUUUUUUUCUUAAAGAAAUUCAAUCUAUGCCUCUCCUCGAUCCUUCCAAAUCUGGUGUUGUAGCCAUGUGUUUCGUUUCUUGAUCCUGUUGACGAGCAUUUUUUAAAGUACAUGACUACGUCAAAAAUAUAUUGCCCAUAGAUUGUUAAGAUUCCAAACUGUGGAAAAACGAGUUUUACUGAGUCUAAUCUUUUUAACUUCAUUAUUAUUCUGAGAGCUCUUUUUUGUUGUAAUAGUAUCUUAUCAAGAGUGGUACAGGGAUUUCAUUGUCUGUAUACUGCAGAUAUCUGUCAAUUGCCGCAAAGC
rnacentral:lncRNA from 1 species